AACGUAGGACGCAAGCGUUAUCCGGAGUUACUGGGCGUAAAGCGCGGGCAGGCGGCCCGAUGCGUCUGAUGUGAAAUCUCCUCGCUCAACGGGGAGAGGCCAUUGGGAAACGGACGGGCUGGAGGGCAGUAGAGGUAGGCGGAAUUCCGGGUGGAGUGGUGAAAUGCGUAGAGAUCCGGAGGAACACCAGAGGCGAAGGCGGCCUACUGGGCUGCACCUGACGCUGAGCCGCGAAAGCCAGGGGAGCGAACGGG
rnacentral:rRNA from 1 species